rnacentral:lncRNA from 11 species
AUGAUGAAGAUUGGCACGAGGAAUAUUUCCAGGAAAGAGGCCGGGAACAUGAGAGACACAGAGACCGGGAAAGAGAAAGAGACCGGCAUCACUGAGAGAAGAGCUUCGGAAGCAUUCGGUGUUUUUAUGGACUCGUUAUCUCCUCUCCUUAAUCAAGACUUAAAGGGUGGCGGCUUCUCCACCCACUCCUCCCCACUGCCCUCUGCUCUUUCUGGACCCCUUGGAAGUGACUUCGCCUGUAGAACUCCAUCUUGUGGCACCAAGCCCUCCCUCUCUGUGCUGCUGCUUGAUGGAGAAACUCAAAUGACUUGGGACUUUGAGAGGGGAGUUUGCCUGAGCCACUGUGACCAGGGGGCCACUUCAGUCCAUGGAUUCUUGGACCUAAGAAGAAUGGUGCUUCCCACAGAGGUCUCCUGCCUCUUCCCUUACCAUAUCUUCUCUCAGAGCAGUUGAGGAGGAAUCCAUCCGGCUUAUCUUCUAUAGGAAGAAUGUGGUGCUUCUGCACAGCACAAGAUGUAUGCCCAUUGUCUCACUGGGGCUUGUGUCCACAGUCCGCACUGUGUUGUCUUCUCAGGCACCAAGGCAUCCAGUCCUCCUAAAGUCUCAACUUUUUCCCAAAACAGCUUUCAGUCUUGUCCCCUAGCACCAUUGUCUACAGCUUAGACACAAUAGUAUUUCCUCCCUCUCUUUCUUCUGGGAUGGAGGGUGGGCUGGUUGCUGCUUCUAGUCACCUCUCUUGCCUCCUUUCCCCACUUAGUCCCUGAACCAAGGCACCUAGCUGCCUGUAGAGGGGCCUGUGUUAGUCAAACUGCUCACAGUGUGGAGUUUCCCUUAAGAGAUAGAUUGAACUCUGGCUAAUGCAGGUCCACUCACUAUCCACAGAUGAUUUGCUAAUAGAUUCCUUAUUUUGUUUUAUACUGUAGCUGCUCUGGUUGCAACUUCUCCCUUAACCCUCUUGUUUCCAGGCACCACCCCUCCCAGAGUGUCACCUUCCUUGUUCCAAAGGAAGUGCUGUGAAUUGAGACCUGACCAACGCAGUAGCGUGGAAUGGGGUCUAAGUCAAACUGAGGGGUUUUCUUGAAGUUCUCCCUUACAGUACACCCUGAGCAGUUUUAAAUUCAGUGUGAUGUAUGUGUUGAUUUAAGGUCCAGAAGUUUCCUCACACACCAUCCUCAUUUUACAUUUAAUUCACUAUGGAGGGGGUUCAUCCAUGAAUUUGCUUCAGGCAGCAGCAUACCUCACUGAUUUCUGGCAUCCCAGUCUACAGUUUGAGACAGUGAAAAGCCUCAGUUCACAUCACCUUUGUGUAACUGACAGAGGCAUUGCUAGGGCUUUUGAGUCAGCAACAUCUUCAGGCCAGUGCCAUCAACAUCUACAUAAGGAGUAUUAUGGAAAAGAAAUGGCUACAGAGUUUUGGUCAAAUUCAUCUCUGAAAUGAAACCCUUGAGGAUGGGGUUGUUUUCCGUGCUCCAUCCUAGACUGAGUAGCUUACGAUAACACACUGUAUCCUGGAAUAAGUAGCUUCCAGCACCUGGAUUGCUGACAUGGCCACACAACUAUUACAUUCAUGAUUGUCCAGCUGCAUGGUGAAACCCCCUCAUAAAAGGAUCCUGUCUUGUGUCACAGAGGUUGUGUGGCCUAAAUAAGGAUGGAUGGUGUCAAUCAAAGGAUGUCACAAUGUAAUGCAAUACCUCCUUUUGUACUUUUGAGAGGUAUUCAGCUCAAUUUUUUAAAGGAAAAAAGUAAAUGUAGAAAAAUGGAGUGGCAACUUAAACUGUAAAGGAUAAGAUUUGGAUUGGAAAUGUUGCUUUUUACAAAAUGGGACUUUUUUAGUUUGUUUUGAAAUAAUGGAAGUAAAAAAAGAAAAGAAACGAAUGACAGAAACAUAGCCUUGUUUUCCCUUUGACUCUUCUACCCCUGUUCUUUGUGAUUUAAUUUGUUUGUCUUUUUCUGAUAGGUUGCAAACUGUGUAAUAAACUUGAUGAUAUUGUCAAUCUUUUAUACUGCAUUGUAUGGCUUAUUUUUUUUUCUUUUUGUGAUUUAAAUGGGGGUAUGGUGAGUUGUUUUAUAGUGCCUCAUCUCACCAGAGCAUGGAUCGACUUCAAAUCCGGUUUCUGCCUCCUGCAGAAUUCUGGAGUUUGUUGUUUGGUGAGACCAGGAGCUAUUUGGCUAAUCUGUUUAAAGGCUCCUCCCAAACAUGGAUUUAAAGUGGAUCCAAGCUCUAGUGUGAUGAGGUCCCUAGAAUAAGAUGUUCGGGUGCGUGGGUAUUGUGACUUAAAAUUGGCAUUGAAUAAAUAAGAGAUUUUGGUUGGGUGUGUAGCCCUUGUACAACCAUGGCUUUAUGUAAUGCUAAACUAGUUUAAAAACCACUUUAUGUACAGAAAUUAAAAUGCCUUUUUAAAAGCUUAAAAAUCUUUCUCAUCAUUACACCUAAGACACACUUCAGGCUGUCUCUGCACUUUGUGCCUCUGAACUUAUGUAUCUGAACAUAAGUUGCGUCUCUGAGAAGAUGGCAUUUCUGUGGAACUAAAAUAAAGAGCCCUAACUCAUUUGUAGGUUAAUGUGAAUUUUGAGGAGAGACAUUUGAAGUUCCAUUAUGACCCUUCUCUUUAGAUUAUUUGGAACAUUUCUAGUUUUAUUAUAAGAGCAAGUGGUAUAAAAAUAAUUGUAGUUAUUGCAAAACAAUAUGAAACCGAGAGGUGGCUGGAAUCACUAAUUCUUGGUCAUAUAUAAUAUCUUGACAUUCUUUAAGCAGAGGUGAAGGAAUGUUUCUGUUAAAAGGCCCCAUUCAUUUGAGGUGUACAGUCAAAGCCAUUGUCCCUUGCUUCCACUUGUCAAGAGAAGAGACGUAUCUCAGAACUGGUGACUUUUGAGGGCUUUUGAAAUCAUUUUCAGGUAGCCAUCUAGUACAAUUUGUUCUCUAGUAAAUUCUUGUUCAGCCAUGGAAACCCUGAAUAAAUUUUGCAAAGAAAACCCUUAAGAUAGAAUUGCCAUGAACUUGGAGCAAAGACAGAACUACUAUUGGUUGUCCACUUGAGCAGACCUUCAUUGCAAGCUAAGGAAAUAUGUGAUUGCCUUUAGAACUUCUGCCCACAUAAUGCUGAACAAAGGUCUGAGAAUAGGUAAUGGCCUAGAAAUUAUUAAAACUGGUAAUUUUUUCUUUGUGAAAUGGGUGUUAGAUUGAGUAGAGAUGGGGAAAUUGGGGUUCUGAUAAAAAUUGAUGCAAUUUUCAGGGAAGAUGAAUUGGAAGGAAUUUGAAUGACUUCCAUAUAGAACAAUGUCAAUAGCAGAAAGAGGAAAUGUAAACUAAAUGAGAGGUGCAUCUAUUAAAAGAUUUGCAAAACCUUGAUAUGGGUAAUUUUCUCGUGUUAAUUUUCAAAUGUAGUUAAUUUGUCAUUCUUAUUUAUAGCCUUGCACUUGAAAGUCAGUCAGCCAACAAAGCUUGCUCUUAUUGUAAUAGUAACCCAUCUUUAUAAUGUUGGUGAAAUAAUCUAUUAUAUGAUACAGUAUAAUACAGUUAUGAUAAGAUUUUUCUGAGCUCAAUCUGCCUAUCAGUUGAUAUCCUUGUCAUAAUCCUCCCCUUUACUUAUUGGACGAAACAGGUG